rnacentral:rRNA from 1 species
UACGUAGGGUGCAGGCGUUAAUCGGAAUUACUGGGCGUAAAGCGUGCGCAGGCGGUUGCUAAGACAGGUGUGAAAUCCCCGGGCUUAACCUGGGAACUGCGCUUGUAACUGGCAAGCUAGAGUGUGGCAGAGGGGGUGGAAGUUCCAGGUGUGAGCAGUGAAAUGCGUAGAGAUCUGGAGGAACACCGAUGGCGAAGGCAGCCCCCUGGCUAACACUGACGCUCAUGCACGAAAGCGUGGGGAGCAACAGGAUUAGAGUACCCGGGUA